CCUACGGGAGGCAGCAGUGGGGAAUCUUGCGCAAUGGGCGAAAGCCUGACGCAGCAACGCCGCGUGCGGGAAGAAGGCCCUAGGGUUGUAAACCGCUUUCAGUAGGAACGAAAAUGACGGUACCUGCAGAAGAAGGUGCGGCCAACUACGUGCCAGCAGCCGCGGUGACACGUAGGCACCAAGCGUUGUCCGGAUUUAUUGGGCGUAAAGAGCUCGUAGGCGGUUGAGUAAGUCGGGUGUGAAAACUCUGGGCUUAACCCAGAGCCGCCACUCGAUACUGCUGUGACUUGAGUUCGGUAGGGGAGCAGGGAAUUCCUAGUGUAGCGGUGAAAUGCGCAGAUAUUAGGAGGAACACCGGUGGCGAAGGCGCUGCUCUGGGCCGAUACUGACGCUGAGGAGCGAAAGCGUGGGUAGCAAACAGGAUUAGAUACCCUGGUAGUCCACGCCGUAAACGUUGGGGCACUAGGUGUGGGUUCCAACACGGAAUCCGCGCCGUCGCUAACGCAUUAAGUGCCCCGCCUGGGGGAGUACGGCGGCGACGACGAAACGUACGAAGAGUAGUAGCGUGUGAGUUAGCGACGACGACGACGACGGAGGAGGAG
rnacentral:rRNA from 1 species